UGGUGGGUUGCCUUGUCAGGUUGAUUCCGGUAACGAACGAGACCUCAGCCUGCUAAAUAGUCACGGUUGCUUUUUGCAGCCGGCCGACUUCUUAGAGGGACUUUUGGCGCCUUAGCCAAAGGAAGUGUGAGGCGAUAACA
rnacentral:rRNA from 1 species